rnacentral:rRNA from 1 species
GGGUUGUGAGGUUAAGCGACUAAGCGUACACGGUGGAUGCCCUGGCAGUCAGAGGCGAUGAAGGGCGUGCUAAUCUGCGAUAAGCGCCGGUAAGGUGAUAUGAACCGUUAUAACCGGCGAUACCCGAAUGGGGAAACCCAGUGUGACUCGUCACACUAUCAUUAACUGAAUCCAUAGGUUAAUGAGGCGAACCGGGGGAACUGAAACAUCUAAGUACCCCGAGGAAAAGAAAUCAACCGAGAUUCCCCCAGUAGCGGCGAGCGAACGGGGAGGAGCCCAGAGCCUGAAUCAGCAUGUGUGUUAGUGGAAGCGUCUGGAAAGGCGCGCGAUACAGGGUGACAGCCCCGUACACAAAAGCGCAUGUGCUGUGAGCUCGAUGAGUAGGGCGGGACACGUGGUAUCCUGUCUGAAUAUGGGGGGACCAUCCUCCAAGGCUAAAUACUCCUGACUGACCGAUAGUGAACCAGUACCGUGAGGGAAAGGCGAAAAGAACCCCGGCGAGGGGAGUGAAAAAGAACCUGAAACCGUGUACGUACAAGCAGUGGGAGCACAGGUUUACCUGUGUGACUGCGUACCUUUUGUAUAAUGGGUCAGCGACUUAUAUUCUGUAGCAAGGUUAACCGAAUAGGGGAGCCGGAGGGAAACCGAGUCUUAAUUGGGCGUUAAGUUGCAGGGUAUAGACCCGAAACCCGGUGAUCUAGCCAUGGGCAGGUUGAAGGUUGGGUAACACUAACUGGAGGACCGAACCGACUAAUGUUGAAAAAUUAGCGGAUGACCUGUGGCUGGGGGUGAAAGGCCAAUCAAACCGGGAGAUAGCUGGUUCUCCCCGAAAGCUAUUUAGGUAGCGCCUCGUGAAUUCAUCUCCGGGGGUAGAGCACUGUUUCGGCUAGGGGGCCAUCCCGGCUUACCAACCCGAUGCAAACUGCGAAUACCGGAGAAUGUUAUCACGGGAGACACACGGCGGGUGCUAACGUCCGUCGUGAAGAGGGAAACAACCCAGACCGCCAGCUAAGGUCCCAAAGUCAUGGUUAAGUGGGAAACGAUGUGGGAAGGCCCAGACAGCCAGGAUGUUGGCUUAGAAGCAGCCAUCAUUUAAAGAAAGCGUAAUAGCUCACUGGUCGAGUCGGCCUGCGCGGAAGAUGUAACGGGGCUAAACCAUGCACCGAAGCUGCGGCAGCGACACUCAGGUGUUGUUGGGUAGGGGAGCGUUCUGUAAGCCUGUGAAGGUGGCCUGUGAGGGUUGCUGGAGGUAUCAGAAGUGCGAAUGCUGACAUAAGUAACGAUAAAGCGGGUGAAAAGCCCGCUCGCCGGAAGACCAAGGGUUCCUGUCCAACGUUAAUCGGGGCAGGGUGAGUCGACCCCUAAGGCGAGGCCGAAAGGCGUAGUCGAUGGGAAACGGGUUAAUAUUCCCGUACUUGGUGUUACUGCGAAGGGGGGACGGAGAAGGCUAUGUUGGCCGGGCGACGGUUGUCCCGGUUUAAGCGUGUAGG